rnacentral:lncRNA from 1 species
GUACUCUGUGAGCGGCGCCCGGGCGCCUGGGCAGGCGCCUCCCGAGUACCGGCGCCCAUUUUGCCCGCCCGCUAAGGAGACCCGUGCGCGGCCUACACGCUUGGGGGACAGCCCUUUAAGACGACAUCUCCGCGAACGCCGGCCUCUUGAGCCAGGGGGACGCUCUUUUGAAAGUCAGUCCCAAAACAUUUUCUGGAUAUGCCGCAGAAGGAUCCGUGCCAGAAGCAAGCCUGUGAGAUACAGAAAUGUUUACAAGCCAACAGCUACAUGGAAUCAAAGUGUCAGGCUGUCAUCCAAGAACUGCGUAAGUGUUGUGCUCAGUAUCCCAAGGGAAGAUCUGUCGUCUGUUCAGGAUUUGAAAAAGAAGAGGAAGAAAACCUAACACGGAAGUCUGCAUCAAAGUAAAGUUCUUCUGAAGUGCUGCUCCAUGUUUCCACCAAAUGAAUUUUUUUUAUCCUCCUGACUCUUCAGGCCAGGUAGCAGCAAAUAGCAAAUGAAAAAGUCAGCUACAAAAGUUAAUGAAUAUGCCAUCUAUGCAGAACAGGCAGAAAUAUAAACACAUUAAAAGACAAAUAUGUAGAAUGUAAUAUACUGAGCUGCUAAAAUAAACCUGUUUAAGAGAAAAA